UUUGUGUGAAUUUUUAGAGUAAUUCAAUAGUUUCAAAAGGAGAUAUUGGCAUUGAAAGCUUAACAUCAAGAUUGGAGGAAGAAGCGAGUCAACAUCUAUAUGAAUUAUCUUAUAUUUCUUUAAAUUAAUAUGUGCAAUUGAUUUCAUUUUUUUGUGCUUAUUUCUAACUUAGUUAUUAAAAAGUAUGAAAAUUUUGAGUUGAAAUCAAUAGUUCAAUUAU
rnacentral:lncRNA from 1 species